AAAUGCACUUUUUUUCCCCCAUGUUCUUUAAUGAGAAAGAUGAUCCACUGCACUUUUAUGUUUAUAGGAGACAGGAUCUUCAGCGCAGGAAGGAAUACAAGCAGGAGAUCAAAGAAAUGCAGGAGAGAGUGAAGGGAAGGCCACUGUUGUUGGAGCAAGUUGCACAGAGGAAUGCCAAACAGGCUGCAGAUAAACACUACACCAACACCCUGCAUGGAUGUGAUUUGACAGAGGAGUUUAUCAGCAGUAAAGCAGGCAAAUUAGGAUCUUCACCCAAAUUGUCUCCAUCCACUGAGAGCAAGCAGAGUGACCU
rnacentral:lncRNA from 1 species